rnacentral:lncRNA from 1 species
UCUCUUCAGCAUCCGGCGCUUUCUGAGUGCGCCCUGUACAGGUGCCAGGUUAGGGUGCAUGGAUAAAAAGGGACCAGUUUCUCCCGUUGGCUGCUGUCACGUAAACCCGACCCUGAGUGGCUGAGGGCCAGGGCACAGUGGCUCACCGCUACACUGAUCUGCAUCACUACAUUUUAUGUGACUAUUUGCUUGCUCGUGUUGCCCACUGAUGGUGGCGGCCCCAGUAGUUCCUGACAAACGCUAGGCUUAAAUAUAUGUAUGAUGUGUGGACUAAGUGUGUGCCCCAUCUCUGGAUUCAUUUGUGCUACUGUCUCUGUGGUGCAGACAUAGUCCUUAGGCUGCACUUUGAGGCUCAUUUUCCUUCCUGGAGCCCUCGUCUUUCCCUUCAUUGUAUGGGAAAAACUCAAAGAGGAGAAGUUUUUGGAGCUUUGAAACAGGUACUUGGAGCCACAGCAGAAGCCACCAUACCCAGGACUUGUUCUUCUCGGCUCUCCACUCCUAAAAAUGUCGGCAGGGGCGUCCCCUUAUCUGCGAUAUUCCGAGGAAGGACGAUUUCUCCCUAGCCACCCCAGCAUAGUUCUUUAGUGACUCUGGCCUACGUGGGCUCCACUGGCAUACUGGCUUUGUAUGCUGGCAUGCCAGAACACAUGAUCGAGCAGAGACCACUAACAUUACUGCCCAGCACAGCUGAGUGAAUUUCUUCCUUCACACUCUAAGGACAGGACUGCAACAUGGAAAAAGAAAACUGAAAGUUCAGUCUCAUCUCCAGUAGCAUCUCAGGAAUCACAUCCCAGGAAUGAGCCAGCAGAGGACUCACUGUGAAGUCCAUCCAGGUCACAGUCACUCUACUAUAACUCCGUUUCCUAGGAAGUGACUCCGAGACUCACUCAAUGAAGGAAAUCCAGUCUGAAGAAACCUGAAGGAUUGAUGUGGUUUGAAUAAGAACGCCUCCCCCAUAGGCUUAUAUUUGGAAGCUUAGUCACCAGGGUAUGGCACUAUUUGAGAAGGAUUGGGUGCUGUGGCCUGAUAAAGUGGUUUUGGCUUUGUUGGAGAAAGCAUGUCAUUGGGGGUAGGCUUUGGGGUUUAAAAAAGUCCAUAUCAGGCCCAAUCUCCCCCACCCCCAUCUGUUUGCCUGAGGAUCAAGUUGUAGCUCUCAGCUACUGCUCUAGCACCAUGUGUACUGCCAUAGUAACUACCAUGAUGGUAAUGGACUAAGCCUCUAAAACUAUAAGCAAGCCCCCAAUUAAAUGCUUGUUUUUCUAC